rnacentral:misc_RNA from 1 species
GAUGAAGAACGCAGUGAAAUGCGAUACGUAGUGUGAAUUGCAGAAUUCAGUGAAUCAUCGAAUCUUUGAACGCACAUUGCGCCCGCUGGUAUUCCGGCGGGCAUGCCUGUUCGAGCGUCAUUUCAACCCUCAAGCCCCCGGGUUUGGUGUUGGGGAUCGGCUCUGCCCUUCUGGGCGGUGCCGCCCCCGAAAUACAUUGGCGGUCUCGCUGCAGCCUCCAUUGCGUAGUAGCUAACACCUCGCAACUGGAACGCGGCGCGGCCAUGCCGUAAAACCCCAACUUCUGAAUGUUGACCUCGGAUCAGGUAGGAAUACCCGCUGAACUUAAGCAUAUCAAUAAGCGGAGGA